rnacentral:rRNA from 1 species
UACAGAGACUGCAAGCGUUAUUCGGAUUCACUGGGCGUAAAGGGCUCGUAGGCGGCCAACUAAGUCAGACGUGAAAUCCCUCGGCUUAACCGGGGAACUGCGUCUGAUACUGGAUGGCUUGAGAUUGGGAGAGGGAUGCGGAAUUCCAGGUGUAGCGGUGAAAUGCGUGAGAUAUCUGGAGGAACACCGGUGGCGAAGGCGGGUCUCUGGGCCGAUACUGACGCUGAGGAGCGAAAGCGUGGGGAGCGAACAGG